CCCGGCGAACGGGUGCGUAACACGUGAGCGACCUGCCUUCGAGAGGGGGAUAGCCGGCCCAACGGCCGGGUAAUACCGCAUACGACCGGCGCCUCGCACGGGGCGGCGGUGAAACCUUUCGGGCUCGGAGAGGGGCUCGCGGCCUAUCAGCUAGUUGGCGGGGUAACGGCCCACCAAGGCGAUGACGGGUAGCUGGUCUGAGAGGAUGGCCAGCCACAUUGGGACUGAGAGACGGCCCAGACUCCUACGGGAGGCAGCAGUGGGGAAUCUUGCGCAAUGGCCGAAAGGCUGACGCAGCGACGCCGCGUGAGGGAUGACGGCCUUCGGGUUGUAAACCUCUGUUGCCCGGGACGAACCGGCUUAUUCGUAAGCCUUGACGGUACCGGGUGAGGAAGCACCGGCUAACUCUGUGCC
rnacentral:rRNA from 1 species